rnacentral:rRNA from 1 species
AGUGAACGCUGGCGGUAGGCCUAACACAUGCAAGUCGAACGGCAGCACAGUAAGAGCUUGCUCUUACGGGUGGCGAGUGGCGGACGGGUGAGGAAUACAUCGGAAUCUACUUUUUCGUGGGGGAUAACGUAGGGAAACUUACGCUAAUACCGCAUACGACCUACGGGUGAAAGCAGGGGAUCUUCGGACCUUGCGCGAUUGAAUGAGCCGAUGUCGGAUUAGCUAGUUGGCGGGGUAAAGACCCACCAAGGCGACGAUCCGUAGCUGGUCUGAGAGGAUGAUCAGCCACACUGGAACUGAGACACGGUCCAGACUCCUACGGGAGGCAGCAGUGGGGAAUAUUGGACAAUGGGCGCAAGCCUGAUCCAGCCAUACCGCGUGGGUGAAGAAGGCCUUCGGGUUGUAAAGCCCUUUUGUUGGGAAGGAAAAGCAGCAGGUUAAUACCCCGCUGUUCUGACGGUACCCAAAGAAUAAGCACCGGCUAACUUCGUG